GACACGGCCCAGACUCCUACGGGAGGCAGCAGUGGGGAAUAUUGCACAAUGGGCGCAAGCCUGAUGCAGCGACGCCGCGUGAGGGAUGACGGCCUUCGGGUUGUAAACCUCUGUUAGCAGGGAAGAAGAGAAAUUGACGGUACCUGCAGAGAAAGCGCCGGCUAACUACGUGCCAGCAGCCGCGGUAAUACGUAGGGCGCGAGCGUUGUCCGGAAUUAUUGGGCGUAAAGAGCUUGUAGGCGGUUUGUCGCGUCUGCUGUGAAAGGCCGGGGCUUAACCCCGUGUAUUGCAGUGGGUACGGGCAGACUAGAGUGCAGUAGGGGAGACUGGAAUUCCUGGUGUAGCGGUGGAAUGCGCAGAUAUCAGGAGGAACACCGAUGGCGAAGGCAGGUCUCUGGGCUGUAACUGACGCUGAGAAGCGAAAGCAUGGGGAGCGAACAGGAUUAGAUACCCUGGUAGUCCAUGCCGUAAACGUUGGGCACUAGGUGUGGGGGACAUUCCACGUUUUCCGCGCCGUAGCUAACGCAUUAAGUGCCCCGCCUGGGGAGUACGGCCGCAAGGCUAAAACUCAAAGAAAUUGACGGGGGCCCGCACAAGCGGCGGAGCAUGCGGAUUAAUUCGAUGCAACGCGAAGAACCUUACCAAGGCUUGACAUAUACUGGACCGCAUCAGAGAUGGUGUUUCCCUUCGGGGCUGGUAUACAGGUGGUGCAUGGUUGUCGUCAGCUCGUGUCGUGAGAUGUUGGGUUAAGUCCCGCAACGAGCGCAACCCUCGUUCUAUGUUGCCAGCACGUUAUGGUGGGGACUCAUAGGAGACUGCCGGGGUCAACUCGGAGGAAGGUGGGGAUGACGUCAAAUCAUCAUGCCCCUUAUGUCUUGGGCUUCACGCAUGCUACAAUGGCCGGUACAGAGGGUUGCGAUACUGUGAGGUGGAGCUAAUCCCUAAAAGCCGGUCUCAGUUCGGAUUGGGGUCUGCAACUCGACCCCAUGAAGUCGGAGUCGCUAGUAAUCGCAGAUCAGCAACGCUGCGGUGAAUACGUUCCCGGGCCUUGUACACACCGCCCGUCAAGUCACGAAAGUUGGUAACACCCAAAGCCGGUGGCCUAACCCUUUUGGGAGGGAGCCGUCUAAGGUGGGAUUGGCGAUUGGGACUAAGUCGUAACAAGGUAGCCGUACCGGAAGGUGCGGCUG
rnacentral:rRNA from 1 species